rnacentral:sRNA from 1 species
GUGUACCAUGCGUACUUUCCGGUUCUUAGCGCGCCGUCCGCACACAACUGACCACCGCUCGCGACGCUGUGUUGGCC